rnacentral:rRNA from 1 species
GAUGAACGCUGGCGGCGUGCCUAAUACAUGCAAGUCGAGCGAACAGACGAGGAGCUUGCUCCUUCGACGUUAGCGGCGGACGGGUGAGUAACACGUAGGUAACCUACCUAAAGACUGGGAUAACUUCGGGAAACCGGAGCUAAUACCGGAUAAUAUUUCGAACCGCAUGGUUCGAUAGUGAAAGAUGGCUUUGCUAUCACUUAUAGAUGGACCUGCGCCGUAUUAGCUAGUUGGUAAGGUAACGGCUUACCAAGGCAACGAUACGUAGCCGACCUGAGAGGGUGAUCGGCCACACUGGAACUGAGACACGGUCCAGACUCCUACGGGAGGCAGCAGUAGGGAAUCUUCCGCAAUGGGCGAAAGCCUGACGGAGCAACGCCGCGUGAGUGAUGAAGGUCUUCGGAUCGUAAAACUCUGUUAUUAGGGAAGAACAAACGUGUAAGUAACUGUGCACGUCUUGACGGUACCUAAUCAGAAAGCCACGGCUAACUACGUG